GGCGGCGAUGCGGGCCUGUUGCGUGCGCGUGGUAAAUGCGAGAGAAACAGAAAAAAAGAGACGACACAAGAUUAGAAUAUUUCAGAGAAGUUCCAGAAAAGAUUGAAUAAAGUCCCAGUGUUUCGACGUGUUACCUUCUCCGUCUUGUCGUCGUCGAUCGGGCCGUCGUCGUUCAACCAAUAUGGUCGCGAGAGGAAGUUACUGCCGUCGCGAUUGCCUUCGGU